rnacentral:rRNA from 1 species
UACGAAGGGGACUAGCGUUGUUCGGAUUUACUGGGCGUAAAGCGCGCGUAGGCGGAUCGCUAAGUCAGGGGUGAAAUCCUGGAGCUCAACUCCAGAACUGCCUUUGAUACUGGCGAUCUCGAGUCCGGGAGAGGUGAGUGGAACUGCGAGUGUAGAGGUGAAAUUCGUAGAUAUUCGCAAGAACACCAGUGGCGAAGGCGGCUCACUGGCCCGGUACUGACGCUGAGGUGCGAAAGCGUGGGGAGCAAACAGG